rnacentral:rRNA from 1 species
AUCCAGACUCCUACGGGAGGCAGCAGUGAGGAAUAUUGGUCAAUGGACGAGAGUCUGAACCAGCCAAGUAGCGUGAAGGAUGACUGCCCUAUGGGUUGUAAACUUCUUUUAUAAAGGAAUAAAACGAGGCACGUGUGCCUUUUUGCAUGUACUUUAUGAAUAAGGAUCGGCUAACUCCGUGCCAGCAGCCGCGGUAAUACGGAGGAUCCGAGCGUUAUCCGGAUUUAUUGGGUUUAAAGGGAGCGUAGGUGGAUUGUUAAGUCAGUUGUGAAAGUUUGCGGCUCAACCGUAAAAUUGCAGUUGAAACUGGCAGUCUUGAGUACAGUAGAGGUGGGCGGAAUUCGUGGUGUAGCGGUGAAAUGCUUAGAUAUCACGAAGAACUCCGAUUGCGAAGGCAUCUCACGAAUCCGCGAUUGACGCUGAUGCACGAAAGCGUGGGUAUCAAACAGGAUUAGAUACCCGUGUA